rnacentral:rRNA from 1 species
GAUGAACGCUAGCGGGAGGCCUAACACAUGCAAGCCGAGCGGUAGAGUUUCUUCGGAAACUUGAGAGCGGCGCACGGGUGCGUAACACGUGUGCAACCUACCUUUAUCUGGGGGAUAGCCUUUCGAAAGGAAGAUUAAUACCCCAUAAUAUAAUGAUUGGCAUCAAUUAUUAUUGAAAACUCCGGUGGAUAGAGAUGGGCACGCGCAAGAUUAGAUAGUUGGUGAGGUAACGGCUCACCAAGUCAAUGAUCUUUAGGGGUCCUGAGAGGGAGAUCCCCCACACUGGUACUGAGACACGGACCAGACUCCUACGGGAGGCAGCAGUGAGGAAUAUUGGACAAUGGGUGAGAGCCUGAUCCAGCCAUCCCGCGUGAAGGAUGACGGUCCUAUGGAAUGUAAACUUCUUUUGUACAGGGAUAAACCUACCCUCGUGAGGGUAGCUGAAGGUACUGUACGAAUAAGCACCGGCUAACUCCGUG